AGUGAACGCUGGCGGCGUGCUUAACACAUGCAAGUCGAACGAGAACGGGUUAUAGCUUGCUAUAACUGUCAGCUAAGUGGCGCACGGGUGAGUAAUAUAUAGGUAACGUGCCCUAGAGAGGGGGAUAACAGUUGGAAACGAUUGCUAACACCCCAUAUGCCUUUAAGACUUAAGUCUGCAAGGGAAAUAUUUAUAGCUCUAGGAUCGGCCUGUACAGUAUCAGUUAGUUGGUGAGGUAAUGGCUCACCAAGACAAUGACGCUUAACUGGUUUGAGAGGAUGAUCAGUCACACUGGAACUGAGACACGGUCCAGACUCCUACGGGAGGCAGCAGUGGGGAAUAUUGCACAAUGGACGAAAGUCUGAUGCAGCAACGCCGCGUGGAGGAUGACACAUUUCGGUGCGUAAACUCCUUUUAUAUAGGAAGAUAAUGACGGUACUAUAUGAAUAAGCACCGGCUAACUCCGUGCCAGCAGCCG
rnacentral:rRNA from 1 species